rnacentral:tRNA from 1 species
CGGGUAUUGGCGCAGACGGUAGCGCGCCAGAUUUGGGAUCUGGAGGCCGUCAGUUCGAAUCUGACAUAUCCGACCA